AUUAAAUCUGGAGGAAUGAGGGAGAGGGAGGAAGCACAGGUCACAUCAAAGUUUGGGUCCUGAGUAACCUGAUGGGUGGUGGCACUUGCCAGACUGUGGAUGAGGAUCACGGCUCCACCGAGCGAGGUCUGACCUGGACACUUCGGGUCGUCAGCAUUCCAAGCAGCCAACGCUCUGCUCUAGAAGGAGUAACUUCAGCUGAGCGCGUCUGCCUGCACAUUGGCUCCCACUAAUGGGAUUCAGAUGCAGCCAGGUCUCGCUGCAAGACUUCCUGCUGACAGCGAAGACAGGCCCACAAGAUAUCAUCCCCAGAAUGUGCCGCAGGAAAGAAGAUUAGCCCCUUGGCAGGGCUGCAAUCGAUCAUUCCAGGCUCUCGCUUCUCGACCCAGCUGUUGUCUGGUCCCUGGCUGAUGCCGCCAACUGCAUCAUCACCUGCUUGAUUCACUCUACAAAUAUCAUCUGAACAACAUCUAUGUCCAGGACACCUGUUCCAUGUGCUGUGACAGUUCUAGGCACACACAGAGUCUUCAUCUGGAAAUGGAGUCAAAGAAAGGAAUAGUCACGAAGAUUAACUGAGGUACUGGUUGCAAAGUAUAAGGCUGGUGUCUGCCUUGGAAUAAGCUGAGAAGCUGGUUCACCUGUCCUGUAUCCUGCUGGAUUCCCUGAGCAAGGUGCAUUCUCCUUCCGAAUAAGCAGUGAGCUCACCACCUGCCCGUCUUGUAUGGGUGAGGAGAAACCUGUCAUACGUCUCCCCUAAGGCAAGUAUGUGCUAAUCACUUUCUAUUCGUGACUUCGUUAAAUCUACUAACAGUACUGCAAAGUAGGUACUGUUAUUAACCCCACAGUAUGGAUGAAGAAAAGGAAGCACAGAGCCAUUACAUUGCCUGACCAGGUCACGCAACUAGUCAGUGUACUGUCUGCCUCCAGAGCCCCUAAUUUCACCAUCACACUUACCGCUCCUCUCAUCCAUCCCACAUGUCAAUUUCUACCAAAAAUGACAAUUGUAAGUGAUUCUUCCAUCAGCAUACUUUCACAUAUUGUCUUAAGUCCUUGUCUGAUUAUAUGUUUAGGAUCAAUUCCUGAGUGAAAUUAUUUUGAACAUAUUUUAAGCUCUUUGAUGCUAGUUGCCAAAUUAUAUACCUGAAUAUUUUUUCACAGUUUACAGUCCCAUCAA